rnacentral:rRNA from 1 species
GGCUGAUAGGCCGGGUGUGUAAGCGCAGCGAUGCGUUGAGCUAACCGGUACUAAUGAACCGUGAGGCUUAACCUUACAACGCCAAAG